AAAGAUGCCUUCGCUUGAAGCAGAGAAACAGCCGGCGCAGGUGCAGGUCCGGUCUGUGUGGGCCGACAACCUGGAGGCGGAGUUCGACAACAUCCGUGAGGCCGUGGAGCGCUACCCCUUCGCCGCCAUGGACACCGAGUUCCCCGGCGUCGUUCACCGCUCCCGGAAGCACCCCGCCCACCUCUCCACCGCCGAGCGGUACGCGCUGCUCAAAGCCAACGUCGACGACCUCCACCUCAUCCAAGUCGGGCUCACCCUCUCCGACGCCGCCGGCAACCUCCCCGACCUCUGCGACGACGGCGGCGUCCGCUACAUCUGGGAGUUCAACUUCAGUGAUUUCGACCUCUACCGCGAC
rnacentral:lncRNA from 1 species